GAUGAACGCUGGCGGCGUGCCUAAUACAUGCAAGUCGAGCGAAUGGAUUAAGAGCUUGCUCUUAUGAAGUUAGCGGCGGACGGGUGAGUAACACGUGGGUAACCUGCCCAUAAGACUGGGAUAACUCCGGGAAACCGGGGCUAAUACCGGAUAACAUUUUGAACCGCAUGGUUCGAAAUUGAAAGGCGGCUUCGGCUGUCACUUAUGGAUGGACCCGCGUCGCAUUAGCUAGUUGGUGAGGUAACGGCUCACCAAGGCAACGAUGCGUAGCCGGCCUGAGGGGGGGAUCGGCCACACUGGGACUGAGACACGGCCCAGACUACUACGGGAGGCGGCAGUAGGGAAGCUUCCGCAAUGGACGAAAGUCUGACGGAGCAACGCCGCGUGAGUGAUGAAGGCUUUCGGGUCGUAAAACUCUGUUGUUAGGGAAGAACAAGUGCUAGUUGAAUAAGCUGGCACCUUGACGGUACCUAACCAGAAAGCCACGGCUAACUACGUGCCAGCCGCCGCAGUAA
rnacentral:rRNA from 1 species